AGUAUCUAAGCAAAGCAGACCCCACUUAGUGCAGUUCGAUCGCUCUCGUCGUCAAGUGACAGACUGUUGUCUGGACGGAUCUAGCUUGGUAACGCGCACAAAAACUAGCAACACGUAAAGGCGAUAGAAGAAGCAGACCAAAUUCGUCAGGCGAACACAAAACUUUUUCUCAAGCCCAUAACCAAGAUAGAAACUACUAAGUGUCUUAAACCAGUUCCUC
rnacentral:misc_RNA from 1 species